GGGGAUGCCAGGCAUAGACAGUAGGACUUUUGUUUUUGAUGCAUACCGAGAAUGGACACAAUCUCGCAAAACUUUGUCCAAAUGUUAAUUGCAAAAUUAGCUUCUAAGGUGAAGGCAGUCUCUCCAUACUUCGGUAUGAAUGAUUUCGCUUUCGCUCGAGUUUCCGCUUUCGCGUAAGCUCGUGUCUCUCUUAUAGACUUCCGAUAUAUAAGGGCAGGCACAAUAUUAUCGGGAUAGCUUGAGCGUUGUUCCGCCGCUUUAGCAAAACGAAGGAACUAUAAUUAAAAAAUAUUUGGCUCGCUUCUUAAUUUUUUAAUCUAAUCCGCCUCCGCCAAUUGGCGGAUGGCGGAAAAAAGCGCGCUACGUAUGUAGACUUCAUAGCAAAAACCUUCUGCACGGGGGCUCACUUCCCCCCAUCUCCACAA
rnacentral:tmRNA from 1 species